AAAUGAAUUUCUGUGGAUGUUGUUUUUUGUUUUUUACAGAUUUUUAUUUAUUAAUUUGAGAGAGAGCACGAGCAGGGGGGAGAGGGAGAAAGGCUCAGUCCCAGGACCUCUAGAUCAUGGCUGGAGCCAAAGGCAGAUGCCCAGCUGACUGAGCCACCCACAUGCACACGCCCCCCUCGUGUCUUCCCUACCGUGGGACCACAAGUGAUGGGGAAUCAGAGCUUCUUUCAGGAGAGGGAGUCGGAGUCCAAAGAACUCAAGCAAGGGUGCACAUUACCCCCUUCUCACCAGGAGGUGGUAAUGGCAAAAAGUAGCAAUACAAGACCCUUUCAAGGUCUUGUAAUUGGAGUGCAUCCACUUUAAGUCUUUUAAUGAGGAUCUAUUGGAGGUCAGGUCUGGUGCCAGCAGCCGCAGUAAUUCUAGCUGUAAGAGAGGAUAUUAAAGUUGCGGCAGAUAAAACACUCAUACCCAGCUCUCAGGAACUGAUGGGCUGCUGUGGCGAGGCAGAGGGGAGCCACUACCCGCCUGCCCCUUGGUGCCCCCUCCAUGCUCUUAGUGGAGUGUCUGGGGGUGGGGGUGGGAGUCAAAGCAUUGACUUUGAAAAAGAGUAUUCAAAGCAAACCAGAGCCACCUGGAUACCACAGCUAGAAAUGGUGGAGCAGAACUCUAAUGCUCUUUGUUGGCUUUUGGAACGGAGACCAUGAUGAAGAGGGAUGGUUGGGGACAUUCGUAAUGCACCACUAGGGGUGAAAUUCUUGAACUUAUACAAGUAAAAAAAAAAGUUUCUAUUAAAAAAGAACAAUCAUUUUCUCUUAAUAUAUGUAAAUGAUGUCUGCAUGGCCGCAUACAUUUUGGGGGCAUCACGGAGCUUUAGGAAAACAGUGGAGACUCUGUCAAGUACACUU
rnacentral:ncRNA from 1 species